rnacentral:rRNA from 1 species
GACGAACGCUGGCGGCGUGCUUAACACAUGCAAGUCGAACGGUGAAGCGCCUUCCUUUUUGGUGGGUGUGGAUGAGUGGCGAACGGGUGAGUAACACGUGAGUAACCUGCCCCCUUCUUCUGGAUAACCGCAUGAAAGUGUGGCUAAUACGGGAUAUUCUGGGUCUGUCGCAUGAUGGGUCUGGGAAAGAUAUUGUUUCGGUGGGGGAUGGGCUCGCGGCCUAUCAGCUUGUUGGUGGGGUGAUGGCCUCCCAAGGCGGUGACGGGUAGCCGGCCUGAGAGGGUGGACGGUCACACUGGGACUGAGACACGGACCAGACUCCUACGGGAGGCAGCAGUGGGGAAUAUUGCACAAUGGGCGCAAGCCUGAUGCAGCGACGCCGCGUGAGGGAUGGAGGCCUUCGGGUUGUGAACCUCUUUCGCCAGUGAAGCAGGCCUGCCUCGUUUGUGGGUGGGUUGACGGUAGCUGGAUAAGAAGCGCCGGCUAACUACGUG